rnacentral:lncRNA from 1 species
AAAUAACUAAAUAAAAUUAAUUAAAUAAAUAAAUAAAAUAUAACAAAUUUUUUUGGACUUGGGUUUCCCUCAUUUGAGCCCACUACCCACGAAAAUCAGUCUAUAAAUACUUAAGUUUCAGUAGAGGAAAACACAUUUGGAGUUACACUGGGAGAUUCACUUGAGAAAAAGGGAGGGAAGCAAAAUACUCUGAGGUUUCCUUGGAACAAAACCCUGAGGAAAAAGAUAGUGAGAGAAGAACUAACAGA